UAACCAUGAAUUCAAUUUUGCCCAAACCGGAUCUUGAGCACGUGGUAAUGUUCCGCUACAAGUAGAUAACACGUUGAAACGCAUUUCGCUUCCUUUCACGAUCAAAUCCCAAUUCUUUGUUUUAUAUAAUCAUAAAAAGAAGACAAAAAAUUCUUGCAUAAAAAUUUAUGUGUUUAAACAUGUGUUUAAUUUUUUAUAUUAUUAAUAUCUACAAGAAUAAUAGUGACUUAAAAUAAAGAAAAAGAACAUAACCUAAAAAAUGGCAAAUAUUUCUAAGUAAAUAUGUCUAGAAAGUUUGAUCUAUAUUAAACGAAGUUUUGUUUGAAAGUUUCUUCCUUUAUCGUACAAAAGUUCGAAGAAGUUUCGUUAAGAUUCCAAAAGUUAGGAAACGAACAAUCUCUGAAUUAAUGAGUUGAUGGUGUUGUGUAAAAUUUAUUUCGAAGCUUGUGAAUGUUCUGUAUGAAAAUCGUGGUAAUAUGUGAAUUUGCGUACCGAUCGAAAUAUUCUUGAGGUUAUCAGCCUGCUAUGCAUUGCAAUGGGAUAGCGGAUGUUUUUAGAAAAUAGCUCAAGUAGCUGAGAAAUAGGAUGGAAUGUGUACUACGAAACGUAAGCUAUAGAUGUAGCAGAUUCCUGUAAUGCAACUAUAUUAUCGACACACAGAUUUCUGUAUUACCGACUGUAUUAUCACAUAUAAUUUGCUUUUUAAACCGAUAAGAUGACACCACAAACAAGAUAUAAGAAUAAUUGACAAAAUAUACUUUUUCGCAUUAUAA